ACGCUCGACACCUACGGAGGCAGCAGUGGGGAAUAUUGCACAAUGGGGGAAACCCUGAUGCAGCGACGCCGCGUGGAGGAAGAAGGUCUUCGGAUUGUAAACUCCUGUUGUUGGGGAAAAAGAGGAUGGUACCCAACAAGGAAGUGACGGCUAACUACGUGCCAGAAGCCGCGGUAAUCUGAGCGGGCUGGCAAGGC
rnacentral:rRNA from 1 species